CCAAAGGCUCUUUUCAGAGCCGCCCACAUGUACACGGAAAAGGACU
rfam:Equus caballus chromosome 20, whole genome shotgun sequence.